GUCUUCCUGUGUGUUAUAGGAAGUCUGGCCUGCCCGGUGAUAUUUUUUAACGGCCGCGGUAUUCUGACCGUGCAAAGGUAGCAUAAUCAUUAGUCUUUUAAUAGGGGGCUGGAAUGAAAGGUUUGACGAGGCAAUGACUGUCUCAUAUGGAUUUUUAAAAUUUAAUUUUUGAGUUAAAAAGCUUAAAUUUUGUUGGAAGACGAGAAGACCCUAUAGAGCUUUAUGGGUUUCUUUAUGAUUUGUUAUUGGAUUGUUUAUUUAUUAAUUAUAAUUAAUGCCUAUUUUGUUGGGGUGACAAAAAUAUUUAUUUAACUUUUAUAUUUAUUUUACAUUAAUUUGUGGCUAUUAGAUCCAUUUAUUAUUGAUCAUUAGACUAAGUUACCUUAGGGAUAACAGCGUAAUCCCCUUUAGGAGUUCAAAUUUGCAAGGGGGCUUGCGACCUCGAUGUUGGAUUAAGAUAAUAGUUGGGUGUAGCCGCUUGAUUUAUAGGUCUGUUCGACCUUUAAUUUCUUACAUGAUCUGAGUUCAGACCGG
rnacentral:rRNA from 1 species